CGCUUACCUGUGAUGACCAAAAAAUAAAUGUCUGAACAAAUGACUGUCUAGUGAUAUUAGUUUUAAACUGAGGUAAGCC